rnacentral:lncRNA from 1 species
GGGAUCAAGAGUUAGCUCUAGUUUAUAAACCUUUGCAUUUUCAUUGCCUCCUCACUAUUGGCUUUGGAUAGAGCAUGGGAUUCUUAUUUUGCUUAGUAGCCACCAUGAACUUUAUAUGGACUACACGAGGCAAGUCCUUAAUUCCACAGUCAUCAAGUUCAUCAAGGAUUUGAUGCUUAGGAGGGAUUCUUUUACCAUCAUGAGGUGCACAGCUGGAAGAGAAAACAUCUAACGAGCACUUGUUCAUUAGGACCAGAAGUCCUGUUCUCUUCUAUGGCAGAAUGUUGGAGAAUGCUUCCUUGAGAACAUUCUGGAGAGAUGUGGAAUGUUUAGGUUUCCUUUGCAGUGAAUGCUUAAGUUUCCUUAUCUUGCCAAUUCUACAGUGCCUUCUGGAGAACUCGCUGGCCAGAGAAGAUAAUCUUGAAGUGAAGAUACAGGAUAAUCAGAGAAACUGUUCCAGUCACAGCUGCCAGAAGGAGCAGAUGCACAAACCAUCGGCCAUCCCUGG